AGUCGAACGGAAAGGCCCUUCGGGGUACUCGAGUGGCGAACGGGUGAGUAACMCGUGGGUGAUCUGCCCUGCACUUCGGGAUAAGCUUGGGAAACUGGGUCUAAUACCGGAUAUACCUCUUUAGUUGCAUGACUUUGGGGGGAAAGCUUUUGCGGUGUGGGAUGGGCCCGCGGCCUAUCAGCUUGUUGGUGGGGUGAUGGCCUACCAAGGCGACGACGGGUAGCCGGCCUGAGAGGGUGACCGGCCACACUGGGACUGAGAUACGGCCCAGACUCCUACGGGAGGCAGCAGUGGGGAAUAUUGCACAAUGGGCGCAAGCCUGAUGCAGCGACGCCGCGUGAGGGAUGACGGCCUUCGGGUUGUAAACCUCUUUCAGUAGGGACGAAGCGCAAGUGACGGUACCUAUAGAAGAAGGACCGGCCAACUACGUGCCAGCAGCCGCGGUAAUACGUAGGGUCCGAGCGUUGUCCGGAAUUACUGGGCGUAAAGAGCUCGUAGGUGGUUUGUCGCGUUGUUCGUGAAAACUCACAGCUCAACUGUGGGCGUGCGGGCGAUACGGGCAGACUUGAGUACUGCAGGGGAGACUGGAAUUCCUGGUGUAGCGGUGGAAUGCGCAGAUAUCAGGAGGAACACCGGUGGCGAAGGCGGGUCUCUGGGCAGUAACUGACGCUGAGGAGCGAAAGCGUGGGGAGCGAACAGGAUUAGAUACCCUGGUAGUCCACGCCGUAAACGGKGGGUACUAGGUGUGGGUUUCCUUCCUUGGGAUCCGKGCCGUARCUAACGCAUUAAGUACCCCGCCUGGGGARUACGGCCGCAAGGYUAAAACUCAAA
rnacentral:rRNA from 1 species